AUUGAACGCUGGCGGCAGGCCUAACACAUGCAAGUCGGACGGUAGCACAGAGAGCUUGCUCUCGGGUGACGAGUGGCGGACGGGUGAGUAAUGUCUGGGAAACUGCCCGAUGGAGGGGGAUAACUACUGGAAACGGUAGCUAAUACCGCAUAACGUCUUCGGACCAAAGUGGGGGACCUUCGGGCCUCCCACCAUCGGAUGUGCCCAGAUGGGAUUAGCUAGUAGGUGGGGUAAUGGCUCACCUAGGCGACGAUCCCUAGCUGGUCUGAGAGGAUGACCAGCCACACUGGAACUGAGACACGGUCCAGACUCCUACGGGAGGCAGCAGUGGGGAAUAUUGCACAAUGGGCGCAAGCCUGAUGCAGCCAUGCCGCGUGUAUGAAGAAGGCCUUCGGGUUGUAAAGUACUUUCAGCGGGGAGGAAGGCGAUGAGGUUAAUAACCGCAUCGAUUGACGUUACCCGCAGAAGAAGCACCGGCUAACUCCGUGCCAGCCGCCGCAGUAA
rnacentral:rRNA from 1 species